GGGGGGCGGGGGGGCCGGGCUGCUGCCCGCCGGGGGACGCCCGCCCGCUGAGAGGGGAAGGCUGGAGAGAGCCUGGCGGCGGAGCCCGGCCCGCGGAGCCCGGCCCCUCCAGGAAAGAGUUUGAUUUAUGACUUUCGGAAGAAUUGCGUUCAGCCCUUCCAGCUAUAACCCACGCAUCCCAGCUCCACAGCGUGUUGCCGAGCUGGGAAGGCAGCAGCACUCCUCGCAUGGACGGUGCCUUCCCCGGUCCCCGCUCCAGCCACUCUCUCUGCGAUGUCCCCACGCUCUCCGGAAUGUCCCCACGCCCUCGGCCCUUCGUGGAAGAGCCCCGCUCGCAUCUGUUGCUCGCCCGCCGCCCCCGGACUGGGCUCGGUCCCCUCCCGAGGCCCCCACCACCGCUGACCGGGGCCGCACGCACUUUGCCGGAGAUUUUCUCCAAGCCCGGCGUUGCUGCCCAAGGGUGGGGAUCCCCGAGGAAAUCUCAGCUUGGAAGUCACACCCGUCCUUUUUCGGGAGCACCCCUUCGCCCCGCAAAGAAGGGUUUAAAGCGGAAUUAUCUUCCCUCAAAAGGACCGAGCGGAGGGGUUGAUUUCUUGGACCGCUCAGCACGUGAGGACUCACCAAGCGUACCCUCUGUGAGCUCUCAUAUAUCUUAAGAUUCCUGAAUCAGCUUGCUGGCUAACCACUGCAUUCUAGAAAAAUAUGAGCCCCCCCAAAAAGAAAAAAAAAAGUUUUCGUGUAUGUAACAGGCUAGUUUCUGCAGGAGACACCCUCCUGAAUCUGCUUCACGUUUGGUCUGUAACAGAGAAAGUGCUCGCUUAUGCUUUUGUUACAGUUCAGAAUUCCCAAGCUUCGUAUCGGCACGGAGAUAAAAUGCUGCGUUUAUACAUUAAAAGGAAGAAAUCUCCGUCAAAGCUGUGAACGGUUUUAGUUUCCUUUUUUUUUUUUUUUCCUUGUGAGAAACCCUUACAAUAAAGAAUUUGAACGUUUU